UGUUCCCGUAUUAUAUUUCUCUAUUUCUACCUCUUUGUUCUGGUAUUCAAGUCUACCUGUAUGUUCCCGUAUUAUAUUUCUCUAUUUCUACCUCUUUGUUCUGGUAUUCAAGUCUACCUGUAUGUUCCCGUAUUAUAUUUCUCUAUUUCUACCUCUUUGUUCUGGUAUUCAAGUCUACCUGUAUGUUCCCGUAUAUGUUUCUAUUGUUUACCUUUUUAUUCCGGUAUAAUUGUAUGUUCUUACCUGUAUGUUCCGAGACAUUACUGUUCCUGUGUUUGGACCUAUCACCCCGGCGGAGGCUCAUCUUUGAGCGGCGAUUAGAUGUUCUAUCAUUACUGACGGAUGGCUCUAGCGUAAAUGUUU
rnacentral:lncRNA from 1 species